rnacentral:misc_RNA from 1 species
GAUGAAGAACGUAGCGAAAUGCGAUAAGUAAUGUGAAUUGCAGAAUUCAGUGAAUCAUCGAAUCUUUGAACGCACAUUGCGCCCCUUGGUAUUCCGAGGGGCAUGCCUGUUCGAGCGUCAUUAUAACCCCUCAAGCUAAGCUUGGUGUUGGGGCCUGCUGCACUGGCAGCCCUUAAAAUCAGUGGCGGCGCCAUCUGGCUCUAAGCGUAGUAAUUCUUCUCGCUAUGGAGUCCUGGUGGAUGCUUGCCAUCAACCCCCAAUUUUUCUAUGGUUGACCUCGGAUCAGGUAGGGAUACCCGCUGAACUUAAGCAUAUCAAUAAGCGGAGGA